rnacentral:rRNA from 1 species
GGGACUUCGGUUCCUGAGUACAGCGGCGCACGGGUGAGUAACACGUGGGUAACCUGCCUCGGAGUGGGGAAUAACACCGGGAAACCGGUGCUAAUACCGCAUACGACCACAGGAUCUUCGGAAUCUGUGAUGAAAGACAAUGUCGCUCUGAGAGGGGCCCGCGCCCGAUUAGCUAGUUGGUGGGGUAACGGCUCACCAAGGCAGCGAUCGGUAGCCGGUCUGAGAGGACGGUCGGCCACACUGGAACUGACACACGGUCCAGACUCCUACGGGAGGCAGCAGUGGGGAAUUUUUGACAAUGGGGGAAACCCUGAUCAAGCAACGCCGCGUGGAUGAUGAAGUAUUUCGGUACGUAAAAUCCUUUCGACAGGGAAGAAGCCCUUCGGGGUUGACGGUACCUGUAGAAGAAGCCCCGGCUAACUCCGUGCCAGCAGCCGCGGUAAUACGGGGGGGGCAAGCGUUGUUCGGAUUUACUGGGCGUAAAGGGCGCGUAGGCGGUUCGUUAAGUCGGAUGUGAAAACUCUGGGCUCAACCCAGAGCCUGCAUCCGAUACUGGCGGACUUGAGUGCGAGAGGGGAAAGCGGAAUUCCUGGUGUAGCGGUGAAAUGCGUAGAUAUCAGGAGGAACACCGGCGGCGAAGGCGGCUUUCUGGAUCGCAACUGACGCUGAGGCGCGAAAGCUAGGGGAGCAAACAGGAUUAGAUACCCU